CUUGUAAAGGAAACCAGGGCUACACACGAGUAACACGGCAGUUUGCUACAUAAAGUAGAUAGAGUGUGUGAAGAAUAAACGAGAUCCUUUAAAGUAGUUAGAGAAAAAAGAAACGGUAUGUCAACGCUGAUAAAGUUUAAGCCAAUUAGCACAGUGAACAUAAAACAAGAAGCCGUUGAAUGGAAGAACUAACCGCGGGAGAUGACACAGCACCUUUACAUU
rnacentral:ncRNA from 1 species